UUGAAUAUAAAUAUGUACAUAGAAUUUAUGAAGAGUAGUUAUCUAAUAAUAAUGACUUUUUAAUUUCGCAAAUAUUGUCUAAUACUCAAGAUGUAAAGAGAGUGAGUUUGAGAUGAGUGAGGUUAGAUGACGACAAGGGUAGAAAUCAUGGCGAUGAGGACACGGCCUCUUUUUUCCCCCUUUUAUUCGAGGACGCAUAACUCGAUGAAAUUUUUUUUUUUUUGAAAUUUAUUUUGUGUACUCUUCUAAGUUUAAUAAACAAAUGAUAAAAAAACGGUUGGUGAAAA